AAUCUUUAUCAUUCAUUUAGAACCACCUGUUCUUAAUUAUCAUGGCAGUAAAACACUCAUUUUGACCUUAGAGUUAUCUGUUUAGGUAUAAUGAUUCAAAUUCGGGUAGUUGCACAUGAAUUAUGACCACUUUAGCAUUUUUUGCUUAAUUUCUAGUUUGGAGUUUGAUAGUUCUGUUACUCUUUGAACCUAGCAUAGCAAUAUAAAAUUUGAGUAGAAGUAAUUAUAAUUCUCUGUUUC